GAGACAAUUUCUUCAGAAAGAUCAGUUCAGAACUCCCUGAUGAUGGUAGUUUUAUCUCCAUUUCAAAUGCACAGACUAACUUAAUCCUAUUCUCUGUUUUCUCAAAUAUUUGAAAAAACUAACAAGAAAAAUACAAAGCAAAUGCGUUCUUCAUUUCAAGUGAUUUUUUUUUUUCUUAAAACGUAGAAAGGUAAAAAGGGCUUGUUAGUCUAGUGUUAAGAGAAUGAUGAAGUCUUCAGAAACUUUUUCCUUUGAUGUUCUCCAAUUAAAUACUUAUACCUGCUUAAUCUUUUAAUGUCAGAGAGAUAGAGAUUUUUCUGAUCAACGCAGGAAGGGGCCAUGAGGAUAGAGGAAUAUCUAAUGCUAACUCACCAUCCUUUGAGGAUGAAAAUGUCUCCUGGAUAUCAUCGGAGAGGAUUUAUGAAUCACAACACACACAGCAAAUCGAGAAAAGCUGUUUUCCGACAUUACAUCUACAAUCCAUCAUCGGUAGAUUUUAUUUAGCCAUGCCUUUAAUUUCCAGAUAUUAGUUGUGUUUUGCCAAUACUAGAUUAAUUACAUGCAAAAGAAGCCAUGAGUGUAUCUGAGGAUGAAUCUUUAUGAGAAAAGUAACUGCAGGCAGAGGAAGAAUAUGCGAUGAGCCUUGAAAAGGACUAGCUUAUUAUGUUAGCAUAGUGUGCAUUUGCAACUCUUGUCUUGAGCUUCUAUUCUAAAUAUAAAAGUGGAAAACCAUAAAAAGCCUUUAAUAACUACUGAUAUGGUUUGGCUCUGUGUCCCCACCCAAAUCUCAUCUUGUAGCUCCCAUAAUUCCCAUGUGUCAUGGGAGGGACCGGGUGGGAGAUGAUUGAAUCACAGGGGCAGGUCUUUCCUGUGCUGUUCUUGUGACAGUGAAUAGUUCUCCAGAUCUGAGGGUUUUAAAAAUGGGAGUUUCCCUGCACAAGCUCUCUCUUUGCCUGCUGCCAUCCUGGUAAGAUGUGACUUGUUCCUCUUGCCUUCUGCCAUGAUUGUGAGGCCUUCCCAGCCGUGUUGAACUGUGAGUCCAAUAAAACCUCUUUCUUUUGUAAAUUGCGCAGUCCCAGGUAUGUCUUUAUCAGCAGCAUGAAAACAGACUCAUACAACUGCUGUCAUUAAUAAAUGCCAUUGAGCAAGUGUCAUUGAUAAUCAAGAAAAGAGAAACUAGAAGAGAGGAAGAGAGGGAGAAAAAAAGAGAGAAAGAAAAAAAAUGAUCCUUCCCAGACUCCUAUUGCUGACCUUACAACCAAAACACACUAAACAUGUAGCUUCCAAAGCACACAAAUCAGGUGGAGUGGCAGGAAAUCCCAUAGACAUAUCUACUUUGCAUAAACAUUCAAGAACCACUUCAGCAACUGUC
rnacentral:lncRNA from 1 species